rnacentral:rRNA from 1 species
AAGGACCGUAGAUAUUGGACAUGGACGCAAGUCUGAUCCAGCCAUGCCGCGUGAAGGAUUAAGGUCCUCUGGAUUGUAAACUUCUUUUAUAAGGGACGAAAAAAGGCUUUUCUAAGUCGUCUGACGGUACCUUAUGAAUAAGCACCGGCUAACUCCGUGCCAGCAGCCGCGGUAAU